UACAGAGGGGGCAAGCGUUAUUCGGAAUUAUUGGGCGUAAAGGGCGCGUAGGCGGUUCUUCAAGUCUCUCGUGAAAUCCCUCGGCUUAACUGAGGACGUGCGGGAGAUACUGAAGGGCUUGAGUCCGGAAGAGGGUGGUGGAAUUCCCAGUGUAGCGGUGAAAUGCGUAGAUAUUGGGAGGAACACCGGUGGCGAAGGCGGCUACCUGGGCCGGAACUGACGCUGAGGCGCGAAAGCGUGGGGAGCAAACGGG
rnacentral:rRNA from 1 species